GUACACACCGCCCGUCACACCAUGGGAGCCGGAAAUGCCCGAAGUCAGUGACCCAACCAAUAAGGAGGGAGCUGCCGAAGGCAGGUCUGGUGACUGGGGUGAAGUCGUAACAAGGUACC
rnacentral:rRNA from 1 species